rnacentral:rRNA from 1 species
GAUGAACGCUGGCGGCGUGCCUAAUACAUGCAAGUCGAGCGAACGGACGAGAAGCUUGCUUCUCUGAUGUUAGCGGCGGACGGGUGAGUAACACGUGGAUAACCUACCUAUAAGACUGGGAUAACUUCGGGAAACCGUAGCUAAUACCGGAUAGUAUUUUGAACCGCAUGGUUCAAAAGUGAAAGACGGUCUUGCUGUCACUUAUAGAUGGAUCCGCGCUGCAUUAGCUAGUUGGUAAGGUAACGGCUUACCAAGGCAACGAUGCAUAGCCGACCUGAGAGGGUGAUCGGCCACACUGGAACUGAGACACGGUCCAGACUCCUGCGGGAGGCAGCAGUAGGGAAUCUUCGGCAAUGGGCGAAAGCCUGACGGAGCAACGCCGAGUGAGUGAUGAAGACCUUCGGAUCGUAAAACUCUGUUAUUAGGGAAGAACAUAUGUGUAAGUAACUGUGCACAUCUUGACGGUACCUAAUCAGAAAGCCACGGCUAACUACGUG